UACGAAGGGUGCGAGCGUUAAUCGGAAUUACUGGGCGUAAAGCGUGCGCAGGCGGAUGCUUAAGUCAGAUGUGAAAUCACCGGGCUUAACCUGGGAAUGGCAUUUGAAACUGGGCGUCUGGAGUGCGGCAGAGGGGGGUGGAAUUCCACGUGUAGCAGUGAAAUGCGUAGAGAUGUGGAGGAACACCGAUGGCGAAGGCAGCCCCCUGGGCCUGCACUGACGCUCAUGCACGAAAGCGUGGGGAGCAAACAGG
rnacentral:rRNA from 1 species